AUGUAGCACGCAUACACUCCGGUUCCUGCGCGCCGGCCACACCCGCCUGAGGGCUGCUCUUUACGUUUUUUUGGCC
rnacentral:sRNA from 6 species